AUUGAACGCUGGCGGCAGGCUUAACACAUGCAAGUCGAGCGGAGUGAUGGUGCUUGCACUAUCACUUAGCGGCGGACGGGUGAGUAAUGCUUAGGAAUCUGCCUAUUAGUGGGGGACAACAUCUCGAAAGGGAUGCUAAUACCGCAUACGUCCUACGGGAGAAAGCAGGGGAUCACUUGUGACCUUGCGCUAAUAGAUGAGCCUAAGUCGGAUUAGCUAGUUGGUGGGGUAAAGGCCUACCAAGGCGACGAUCUGUAGCGGGUCUGAGAGGAUGAUCCGCCACACUGGGACGGAGACACGGCCCAGACUCCUACGGGAGGCAGCAGUGGGGAAUAUUGGACAAUGGGGGGAACCCUGAUCUAGCCAUGCCGCGUGUGUGAAGAAGGCCUUAUGGUUGUAAAGCACUUUAAGCGAGGAGGAGGCUCUUUUGGUUAAUACCCAAGAUGAGUGGACGUUACUCGCAGAAUAAGCACCGGCUAACUCUGUGCCAGCCGCCGCCGUAA
rnacentral:rRNA from 1 species